rnacentral:rRNA from 1 species
GGAUUAGAUACCCUGGUAGUCCACGCCGUAAACGAUGAGUGUUAGGUGUUGGGGUCUUCGGAUUUCAGUGCCGUAGCUAACGUGUUAAACACUCCGCCUGGGGAGUAAGGUCGCAAGAUUAAAACUCAAAGGAAUUGACGGGGACCUGCACAAGUGGUGGAACAUGCGGUUUAAUCCGAUGCUACGCGCAAAACCUUACCAACUCUUGACAUGGUGGUCGCGAGAUUCAGAAAUGGAUUUUUUCAGUUCGGCUGGACCACACACAGGUGUUGCAUGGCCGUCGUCAGCUCGUGCUG